UACAGCAAGACAGCAUCAUCUAUGAGUCA
rnacentral:piRNA from 1 species